rnacentral:rRNA from 1 species
UGCAGUCGCACGAGAACGCUUCAGCUUGCUGAAGUAAGUAAAGUGGCGCACGGGUGAGUAACGCGUGGGUAAUCUACCCUCAAAUUGGGGAUAACCCGCCGAAAGGCGGGCUAAUACCGAAUGAUAUCUUGAAAACUUAUGUUUUCAGGAUCAAAGAUGGCCUCUACAUGUAAGCUAUUGUUUGGGGAUGAGCCCGCGUACCAUUAGCUUGUUGGUAGGGUAAUGGCCUACCAAGGCUGCGAUGGUUAGCUGGUCUGAGAGGAUGAUCAGCCACACUGGAACUGACACACGGUCCAGACUCCUACGGGAGGCAGCAGUGAGGAAUUUUGCGCAAUGGGGGAAACCCUGACGCAGCAACGCCGCGUGAGUGAUGAAGGCUUUCGGGUCGUAAAGCUCUGUCAAGUGGGAAGAACUCAUAUGGUGUUAAUAUCGCCAUGUGCUGACGGUACCACUGAAGGAAGCACCGGCUAACUCCGUG